UCGUCGGCCUGCUGCGGGCAGAUCCAGUGAAUAUGCGCAUCAAUGCCGCCUGCGGUAACGAUAUUGCCUUCCCCGGCAAUCACCUCGGUCCCCGGACCAAUAAUAAUAUCCACAUCGGGCUGAAUAUCCGGGUUCCCGGCCUUGCCAAUGGCGGCAAUGCGGCCAUCGCGCAGGCCAAUAUCGGCCUUCACAAUGCCCCAAUAAUCCAGGAUCAGGGCAUUGGUAAUAACCGUAUCAACCGCGCCCUCGGCACGCGAUGCCUGGGAUUGUCCCAUGCCAUCGCGG
rnacentral:sRNA from 1 species